rnacentral:rRNA from 1 species
GACGAACGCUGGCGGCGUGCUUAACACAUGCAAGUCGAACGGAAAGGCCCUGCUUUUGUGGGGUGCUCGAGUGGCGAACGGGUGAGUAACACGUGAGUAACCUGCCCUGGACUUUGGGAUAACUUCAGGAAACUGGGGCUAAUACCGGAUAGGAGCUCCUGCUGCAUGGUGGGGGUUGGAAAGUUUCGGCGGUUGGGGAUGGACUCGCGGCUUAUCAGCUUGUUGGUGGGGUAGUGGCUUACCAAGGCUUUGACGGGUAGCCGGCCUGAGAGGGUGACCGGCAACAUUGGGACUGGGAUACGGCCCGGACUCCUACGGGGGGCAGAAGUGGGGAAUAUUGCACAAUGGGCGGAAGCCUGAGGCAGCAACGCCGGGUGCGGGAUAACGGCCUUCGGGUUGAAAACCGCUUUCGCCUGUGACGAAGCGUGAGUGACGGUAAUGGGUAAAGAAGCACCGGCUAACUACGUG